rnacentral:rRNA from 1 species
UGGGGAAUAUUGGACAAUGGGCGAAAGCCUGAUCCAGCCAUGCCGCGUGAGUGAUGAAGGCCCUCGGGUCGUAAAGCUCUGUGGAGAGGGAAGAAUCCCUGCAGCAUCAGAUCCUGCAGGUUGACGGUACCUCUUUAGCAAGCACCGGCUAACUCCGUGCCAGCAGCCGCGGUAAUACGGAGGGUGCAAACGUUGCUCGGAAUCAUUGGGCGUAAAGCGCACGUAGGCGGACUGUUAAGUCGGACGUGAAAUCCCUCAGCUUAACUGAGGAAGUGCAUUCGAAACUGGCAGUCUUGAGUACGGGAGAGGGUCGCGGAAUUCCCGGUGUAGAGGUGAAAUUCGUAGAUAUCGGGAGGAACACCAGUGGCGAAGGCGGCGGCCUGGACCGAUACUGACGCUGAGGUGCGAAAGCGUGGGGAGCAAACAG